rnacentral:rRNA from 1 species
UACAGAGGUCCCAAGCGUUGUUCGGAUUCAUUGGGCGUAAAGGGUGCGUAGGCGGCGCGGUAAGUCGGGUGUGAAAUCUCGGAGCUUAACUCCGAAACUGCAUUCGAUACUGCGGUGCUCGAGUACUGGAGAGGAGACUGGAAUUUACGGUGUAGCAGUGAAAUGCGUAGAUAUCGUAAGGAAGGCCAGUGGCGAAGGCGGGUCUCUGGACAGUUACUGACACUGAGGCACGAAGGCCAGGGGAGCAAACGGG